AACACUAUUCUUCCCCAGAAAAGACUGGAAGCACUAAUGCCUUCAUCAUUCUGAUCUGUAAAUGAAGAUGUCCUACUUCUGUUGCCCGUUGGUGGAGGUGAUUUGGAAAGGACCUACACAAAGAUCAGAUAAUAAUCUUCAACAAGUAUCAGUCCAAGACACCUG